rnacentral:rRNA from 1 species
AGUCGAACGAGAUCUUCGGAUCUAGUGGCAGACGGGUGAGUAACGCGUGGGAACCUGCCCAGUAGUAGAGGACAACUUGGGGAAACUUAAGCUAAUACUUUAUACGUCCUUCGGGAGAAAGCUUUAUGCGCUAUUGGAUGGGCCCGCGUUAGAUUAGUUUGUUGGUGAGGUAAUGGCUCACCAAGACUACGAUCUAUAGCUGGUCUGAGAGGAUGAUCAGCCACACUGGGACUGAGACACGGCCCAGACUCCUACGGGAGGCAGCAGUGGGGAAUAUUGGACAAUGGGGGCAACCCUGAUCCAGCGAUGCCGCGUGAGUGAUGAAGGCCCUAGGGUUGUAAAACUCUUUCGUCAGGGAAGAUAAUGACGGUACCUGAAGAAGAAGAUCCGGCUAACUCCGUGCCAGCAGCCGCGGUAAUACGGAGGGAUCUAACGUUAUUCGGAAUUACUGGGCGUAAAAGCGAGCGUAGGCGGAUUUGUAAGUUGGAGGUGAAAUCCCAGAGCUUAACUCUGGAACUGCC